UUUGAUUUACUUUUAUCCAAAUUACCUGCAUAAUCUGAAUCAACAUAGCCUUUAAUAAUGAAGUCUGAUCCUCCAUAACACAAUGCAAUAUCUGAGGUACCCUUGAUAUAUAUAAGGAUCUUC